rnacentral:rRNA from 1 species
CCUACGGGAGGCAGCAGUGGGGAAUUUUGGGCAAUGGGCGAAAGCCUGACCCAGCAACGCCGCGUGGAGGAUGAAGGUUUUCGGAUCGUAAACUCCUGUCUAGAGGGACGAAGAAAGUGACGGUACCUCUGGAGGAAGCCCCGGCUAACUCCGUGCCAGCAGCCGCGGUAAUACGGGGGGGGCAAGCGUUGUUCGGAAUUACUGGGCGUAAAGGGCGCGUAGGCGGUUUCGGAAGUCAUGGGUGAAAGUCCUCGGCUCAACCGAGGGAUUGCCUGUGAAACCACGGAACUGGAGUGCUGGAGAGGGAAGCGGAAUUCCCAGUGUAGCGGUGAAAUGCGUAGAUAUUGGGAGGAACACCUGUGGCGAAGGCGGCUUCCUGGACAGACACUGACGCUGAGGCGCGAAAGCCAGGGGAGCAAACGGGAUUAGAUACCCCGGUAGUCCUGGCUGUAAACGAUGAACACUUGGUGUGGGGGGUGAUGAAAGUCCCUCUGUGCCGGAGAGAACUCAUUAAGUGUUCCGCCUGGGGAGUACGGCCGCAAGGCUGAAACUCAAAGGAAUUGACGGGGGCCCGCACAAGCGGUGGAGCAUGUGGUUUAAUUCGACGCAACGCGAAGAACCUUACCGGGGUUUGAACUGCACCUGAACGAUCUAGAGAUGGAGAGGUUCCCUUAGGGGACAGGUGCAGAGGUGCUGCAUGGCUGUCGUCAGCUCGUGUCGUGAGAUGUUGGGUUAAGUCCCGCAACGAGCGCAACCCUUGUCUGUAGUUGCCAUCAGGUAAUGCUGGGCACUCUACGGAGACUGUCGGCGAGAAGCCGGAGGAAGGUGGGGAUGACGUCAAGUCCUCAUGGCCUUUAUGUCCCGGGCUACACACGUGCUACAAUGGGCGGUACAGAGGGCAGCGAACCUGCGAAGGUAAGCGAAUCCCAGAAAACCGCUCUCAGUUCGGAUUGCAGUCUGCAACUCGACUGCAUGAAGUUGGAAUCGCUAGUAAUCGCGGAUCAGAACGCCGCGGUGAAUACGUUCCCGGGCCUUGUACACACCGCCCGUCACAUCACGAAAGUGGGCUGUACUAGAAGCCGCCGGCCUAACCUUAGGGAAGGAGGCGUCGACGGUAUGGCUCAUGAUUGGGGUGAAGUCGUAACAAGGUAACC